rnacentral:rRNA from 1 species
CCUACGGGUGGCAGCAGUGAGGAAUAUUGGUCAAUGGACGAGAGUCUGAACCAGCCAAGUAGCGUGAAGGAUGACUGCCCUAUGGGUUGUAAACUUCUUUUAUAUGGGAAUAAAACGUUCCACGUGUGGGAUUUUGUAUGUACCAUAUGAAUAAGGAUCGGCUAACUCCGUGCCAGCAGCCGCGGUAAUACGGAGGAUCCGAGCGUUAUCCGGAUUUAUUGGGUUUAAAGGGAGCGUAGGUGGUUUGUUAAGUCAGUUGUGAAAGUUUGCGGCUCAACCGUAAAUUUGCAGUUGAAACUGGCAGUCUUGAGUACAGUAGAGGUGGGCGGAAUUCGUGGUGUAGCGGUGAAAUGCUUAGAUAUCACGAAGAACUCCGAUUGCGAAGGCAGUUCACUGGACUGCAACUGACACUGAGGCUCGAAAGUGUGGGUAUCAAACAGGAUUAGAUACCCGAGUAGUC